rnacentral:tRNA from 1 species
AUUUAAAUAGCUUAAUUGUAGAGCAUAAUAUUGAAGAUAUUAAGGUAACUUUUGUUUUUAAAUA